rnacentral:rRNA from 1 species
GACGAACGCUGGCGGCGUGCCUAAUACAUGCAAGUAGAACGCUGAAGGAGGAGCUUGCUCUUCUGGAUGAGUUGCGAACGGGUGAGUAACGCGUAGGUAACCUGCCUGGUAGCGGGGGAUAACUAUUGGAAACGAUAGCUAAUACCGCAUAACAGUAGAUGUUGCAUGACAUUUACUUAAAAGGUGCAAUUGCAUCACUACCAGAUGGACCUGCGUUGUAUUAGCUAGUUGGUGGGGUAACGGCUCACCAAGGCGACGAUACAUAGCCGACCUGAGAGGGUGAUCUGCCACACUGGGACUGGGACACGGCCCAGACUCCUACGGGAGGCAGCAGUAGGGAAUCUUCGGCAAUGGACGGAAGUCUGACCGAGCAACGCCGCGUGAGUGAAGAAGGUUUUCGGAUCGUAAAGCUCUGUUGUAAGAGAAGAACGAGUGUGAGAGUGGAAAGUUCACACUGUGACGGUAUCUUACCAGAAAGGGACGGCUAACUACGUG